UACGGGGGGAGCAAGCGUUGUUCGGAUUUACUGGGCGUAAAGGGCGCGUAGGCGGUCAGCACAAGUCAGUUGUGAAAUCUCCGGGCUUAACUCGGAAAGGUCAACUGAUACUGUGCGACUAGAGUGCAGAAGGGGCAACUGGAAUUCUCGGUGUAGCGGUGGAAUGCGUAGAUAUCUGGAGGAACACCGGUGGCGAAGGCGGCGUUCUGGACUGCAACUGACACUGAGGAACGAAAGCCAGGGGAGCAAACGGG
rnacentral:rRNA from 1 species